rnacentral:rRNA from 1 species
AUACAUGCAGUCGAGCGGACGGAUGGGAAGCUUUGCUUCCCUGAAGUUCAGCGGCGGACGGGUGAAGUAACACGUGGGCAACCUGCCUGUAAGACUGGGAUAACUUCGGGAAACCGGAGCUAAUACCGGAUAAUGCACAGCCUCUCAUGAGGCUAUGCUGAAAGAUGGUUUCGGCUAUCACUUACAGAUGGGCCCGCGGCGCAUUAGCUAGUUGGUGAGGUAACGGCUCACCAAGGCAACGAUGCGUAGCCGACCUGAGAGGGUGAUCGGCCACACUGGGACUGAGACACGGCCCAGACUCCUACGGGAGGCAGCAGUAGGGAAUCUUCCGCAAUGGACGAAAGUCUGACGGAGCAACGCCGCGUGAGUGAUGAAGGUUUUCGGAUCGUAAAACUCUGUUGUCAGGGAAGAACAAGUGCCGGAGUAACUGCCGGCACCUUGACGGUACCUGACCAGAAAGCCACGGCUAACUACGUGCCAGCAGCCGCGGUAAUACGUAGGUGGCAAGCGUUGUCCGGAAUUAUUGGGCGUAAAGCGCGCGCAGGCGGUCUCUUAAGUCUGAUGUGAAAGCCCACGGCUCAACCGUGGAGGGUCAUUGGAAAACUGGGGGACUUGAGUGCAGAAGAGGAAAGU